rnacentral:rRNA from 1 species
AUUGAACGCUGGCGGCAGGCCUAACACAUGCAAGUCGAGCGAGCGGCGGACGGGUGAGUACUGUCUGGGAAACUGCCUGAUGGAGGGGGAUAACUACUGGAAACGGUAGCUAAUACCGCAUACCAUCAGAUGUGCCCCUUCGGGAUUAGCUAGUAGGGGGGGUAACGGCUCACCUAGGCGACGAUCCCUAGCUGGUCUGAGAGGAUGACCAGCCACACUGGAACUGAGACACGGUCCAGACUCCUACGGUAGGCAGCAGUGGGGAAUAUUGCACAAUGGGCGCAAGCCUGAUGCAGCCAUGCCGCGUGUGUGAAGAAGGCCUUCGGGUUGUAAAGCACUUUCAGCGGGGAGGCGGUACCUGAAGAAGAAGCACCGGCUAACUCCGUGCCAGCCGCCGCGGUAAUAG